UACGUAGGGGGCAAGCGUUGUCCGGAAUCAUUGGGCGUAAAGAGCGUGUAGGCGGCCCGAUAAGUCCGCUGUGAAAGUCCAGGGCUCAACCCUGGAAUGCCGGUGGAUACUGUCGGGCUCGAAUCCGGAAGAGGUGAGUGGAAUUCCUGGUGUAGCGGUGAAAUGCGCAGAUAUCAGGAGGAACACCAAUGGCGAAGGCAGCUCACUGGGACGGUAUUGACGCUGAGGCACGAAGGUCAGGGGAGCAAACGGG
rnacentral:rRNA from 1 species